UACGUAGGGGCCUAGCGUUGUCCGGAUUUAUUGGGCGUAAAGAGCUCGUAGGCGGUCUGUCGCGUCUGCUGUGAAAAUCAGGGCUCAACCCUGGACCUGCAGUGGGUACGGGCAGACUAGAGUGCGGGUAGGGGGAGACUGGAAUUCCUGGUGUAGCGGUGAAAUGCGCAGAUAUCAGGAGGAACACCGGUGGCGGAAAGGGCGCCCACUCU
rnacentral:rRNA from 1 species